GACGAACGCUGGCGGCGUGCUUAACACAUGCAAGUCGAACGAAGAGCGAUGGAAGCUUGCUUCUAUCAAUCUUAGUGGCGCACGGGUGAGUAACGCGUAAUCAACCUGCCCUUCAGAGGGGGACAACAGUUGGAAACGACUGCUAAUACCGCAUACGAUCUAAUCUCGGCAUCGAGGAUAGAUGAAAGGUGGCCUCUACAUGUAAGCUAUCACUGAAGGAGGGGAUUGCGUCUGAUUAGCUAGUUGGAGGGGUAACGGCCCACCAAGGCGAUGAUCAGUAGCCGGUCUGAGAGGAUGAACGGCCACAUUGGGACUGAGACACGGCCCAGACUCCUACGGGAGGCAGCAGUGGGGAAUCUUCCGCAAUGGACGAAAGUCUGACGGAGCAACGCCGCGUGAGCGAUGACGGCCUUCGGGUUGUAAAGCUCUGUUAAUCGGGACGAAAGGCCUUCUUGCGAAUAGUGAGGAGGAUUGACGGUACCGGAAUAGAAAGCCACGGCUAACUACGUG
rnacentral:rRNA from 1 species